AUUGAACGCUGGCGGCAUGCUUUACACAUGCAAGUCGAACGGUAACAGGCCGCAAGGUGCUGACGAGUGGCGAACGGGUGAGUAAUGCAUCGGAACGUGCCCAGUCGUGGGGGAUAACGCAGCGAAAGCUGUGCUAAUACCGCAUACGAUCUAUGGAUGAAAGCGGGGGACCGAAAGGCCUCGCGCGAUUGGAGCGGCCGAUGUCAGAUUAGCUAGUUGGUGGGGUAAAGGCCCACCAAGGCGACGAUCUGUAGCUGGUCUGAGAGGACGACCAGCCACACUGGAACUGAGACACGGUCCAGACUCCUACGGGAGGCAGCAGUGGGGAAUUUUGGACAAUGGGCGCAAGCCUGAUCCAGCAAUGCCGCGUGCAGGAAGAAGGCCUUCGGGUUGUAAACUGCUUUUGUACGGAACGAAACGGUCUGGGUUAAUACCUCGGGCUAAUGACGGUACCGUAAGAAUAAGCACCGGCUAACUAC
rnacentral:rRNA from 1 species